ACGGAGGCAGCAGUGAGGAAUAUUGGUAAAUGGGCGAGAGCCUGAACCAGCCAAGUAGCGUGAAGGAUGACGGCACUAUGGGUUGUAAACUUCUUUUUCCGGGGGAUAAAGUGACCCACGUGUGCGUUAUUGCAGGUACCCGGUGAAUAAGGACCGGCUAAUUCCGUGCCAGCAGCCGCGGUAAUACGGAAGGUCCGAGCGUUAUCCGGAUUUAUUGGGUUUAAAGGGAGCGUAGGUGGAAAUGUAAGUCAGCCGUCAAAGCGCGGAGCUCAACUCCGGCCAGCGGUUGAAACUGUGUUGCUUGAGUGCGCAAGAGGCAGGUGGAAUUCGAGGUGUAGCGGUGAAAUGCUUAGAUAUCUCGAAGAACUCCGAUUGCGAAGGCAGCUUGCUGGGGGGCAACUGACGCUGAGGCUCGAAGGUGCGGGUAGCAAACAGGAUUAGAUACCCUGGUA
rnacentral:rRNA from 1 species